GAUGAAGAACGUAGCGAAAUGCGAUAAGUAAUGUGAAUUGCAGAAUUCAGUGAAUCAUCGAAUCAUUGAACGCACAUUGCGCCCCCUGGUAUUCCGGGGGGCAUGCCUGUUCGAGCGUCAUUUCACCACUCAAGCCUCGCUUGGUAUUGGGCAACGCGGUCCGCCGCGUGCCUCAAAUCGACCGGCUGGGUCUUCUGUCCCCUAAGCGUUGUGGAAACUAUUCGCUAAAGGGUGUUCGGGAGGCUACGCCGUAAAACAACCCCAUUUCUAAGGUUGACCUCGGAUCAGGUAGGGAUACCCGCUGAACUUAAGCAUAUCAAUAAGCGGAGGA
rnacentral:misc_RNA from 1 species